rnacentral:lncRNA from 1 species
UAUUGUCAAAACCUUUAGGAGUUGUGUUUGGUAUUAAUAUUGGGAAUUUUAGAUUUUUUAUGCUCUAAAAUUGGUAAAAAAAACAAACACAACUCCGUUUGACUUUUUAAUUUAUACCAAUAUACCAACGAUAGAUUGUCGUUUUUUUUUAAGGAUCCUUUUUUUUUUAUGUGUACUGGAAACUAUUAAUAAGAAAAGACAAUAGAAUGGGAGCUUAUAGUUUUCAUAGUUGCCUCUGGGUAACUAAAAGAAUGUUUGCAAAAACUAAAACACCACUUGUUUUACUUAAUUUAAAC